rnacentral:rRNA from 1 species
CACUCCUACGGGAGGCAGCAGUGGGGAAUAUUGGACAAUGGGCGCAAGCCUGAUCCAGCCAUGCCGCGUGAGUGAUGAAGGCCCUAGGGUUGUAAAGCUCUUUCACCGGUGAAGAUAAUGACGGUAACCGGAGAAGAAGCCCCGGCUAACUUCGUGCCAGCAGCCGCGGUAAUACGAAGGGGGCUAGCGUUGUUCGGAUUUACUGGGCGUAAAGCGCACGUAGGCGGACUAUUAAGUCAGGGGUGAAAUCCCGGGGCUCAACCCCGGAACUGCCUUUGAUACUGGUAGUCUUGAGUUCGAGAGAGGUGAGUGGAAUUCCGAGUGUAGAGGUGAAAUUCGUAGAUAUUCGGAGGAACACCAGUGGCGAAGGCGGCUCACUGGCUCGAUACUGACGCUGAGGUGCGAAAGCGUGGGGAGCAAACAGGAUUAGAUACCCUUGUAGUCCC